rnacentral:lncRNA from 1 species
AAUUUUAAAGACCUACCAUAAAAGAAUUUCUAAAUUGAGUCUGGCUGCUAUAUAGCACGGAGGCCUCCAUACUACCAAAUUGUUUUCAAUGAUAUUGCUUCCAAAUCGAUGAUCAACUCUGUAAGACUUCAUUUACACUAUUGAAAGUAUUUGAAAACUAAAUUUCAGAAAUUUUCGACAUCAUUUAUCUAUCAAACGAGCAAUCUAAAAAUGAAUGGCUGAAAAUAAAAAUCUCGUAAAAAUGAUGAUAAAGACUUGAUAUUAAGAUUAGAUGUACUAAUCUUACUGUAAAUAGUGAAAAAAAUUUCUAUAAAAAUUUCAUCAUAUUUAGAUUGUUUUAUACUGUUAAAUUCACAAACGCAUCACAUCAACCAUUAAAAUUGUCAAUUUUGAGAUCUUUCGAUCACUAGCCAAAUAAGGUCGAAAAAUUAUAAAAUUUAACUUUUAAAUAUUUUUAAUAGUGUAGAUCAAGUUUAAUGAAGCCGAUCGUCUAUUUGAAAACUACAUAAUUGAAAAUAACUUGAUAACACGAAAGCCUCCAUACUACCGAUAGUUUAGCAACCUAGCUCUCUUAAAUUUUAAGCUUGUUAAAUUAGUA